UACGUAGGGGGCAAGCGUUGUCCGGAUUUAUUGGGCGUAAAGAGCGUGUAGGCGGCCAAGCAGGUCCGCUGUGAAAACUCGAGGCUCAACCUCGAGACGUCGGUGGAAACCGUUUGGCUAGAGUCCGGAAGAGGAGAGUGGAAUUCCCGGUGUAGCGGUGAAAUGCGCAGAUAUCAGGAGGAACACCGGUGGCGAAGGCGGGUCUCUGGGCAGUAACUGACGCUGAGAAGCGAAAGCGUGGGGAGCGAACAGG
rnacentral:rRNA from 1 species